UGAAGAGUGACCAGUCAAUGAGACAACCAUUUACAUUUAAAGAUGGAGGCCAUUCUACUGAUCUGAGGCCACAAAAGAAGAAAUUAAAUGUUACUUACAGAGAUCAGGUGGAAUCCAUAUUUAAGGAACUUGAGUUCAAAGUCAUC